rnacentral:rRNA from 1 species
UCGGGAAUUUUGGGCAAUGGGCGAAAGCCUGACCCAGCAACGCCGCGUGAAGGAUGAAGUAUUUCGGUAUGUAAACUUCGAAAGAAUAGGAAGAAUAAAUGACGGUACUAUUUAUAAGGUCCGGCUAACUACGUGCCAGCAGCCGCGGUAAUACGUAGGGACCAAGCGUUGUUCGGAUUUACUGGGCGUAAAGGGCGCGUAGGCGGCAAUUCAAGUCAUCUGUGAAAUCUCCGGGCUUAACUCGGAACGGUCAGAUGAUACUGCUUUGCUAGAGUGCAGAAGGGGCAAUCGGAAUUCUUGGUGUAGCGGUGAAAUGCGUAGAUAUCAAGAGGAACACCUGAGGUGAAGACGGGUUGCUGGGCUGACACUGACGCUGAGGCGCGAAAGCCAGGGGAGCAAACGGGGAUUAGAUACCCUGGUAGUCCCUGAGCGGGCUGGCAAGGCGCAU